rnacentral:tRNA from 2 species
CGGAUGGAAGCCCACUGGGUAGGGUUUUUAGCUGUUAACUAAAUUUUUGCAGGAUCGAGGCCUGCCCAUCUAG